AUGAAAAGAGUUUGAGAAGGAUCUCCUUGAAGAUGGUCAUGAUAUCUGCUGCCAGCCUAAUAAUUCCAGUCUGAGGAUUUGAAUAAGGUCGAUUAUGCCCGUAGUCAUUAGUUUGGUUAAAACAUGUUCAUGUGUGAUUUUUCUUGAUUGUCAUUUGUAACAUUCAUUUGUAAUAAACUUGUUUAUUUUUGAAUAAUAAUUACAUUGAAAUGAAUAUGCAUGUUUUGAAUAA
rnacentral:lncRNA from 1 species